AGUAGUUACAGGCCCAGUAAAUGGUGGAGUUGUGCAACACGACAGAUCCUACCUUCAUGUUCAGGACUUGGCCAGAGCCUGACCCUGCUAUUAAGAUCUGUGCUGCCUAGGAACAAGGAGAUUAAGUGAUUCCAGCUGCCGGCCUUGGGUUUCCUGCUCCCCGGCCACACUCCACAGCCCGAUUUGUUUACAUUUCUCUGCAGGCCAGUUGCUUGGCAAGCAGCUGGUAGCAACAGCCUGAUGCUUUUCAGUUUUGCUUCCAGCCCGGGGGACAACAGUAUGUUAGUCUGGACUCCAGUGCCCCGGACAGCCACCACCCCAGCCUGGCCCAAGUGUCUCCUGCUGUUCCCCGCUGGCUUGCGAUCCGCGGGGCGGUGGAACCCCGAGGUUAAACUUAAGAGUCCGCCAUUGGAGGAGGCAGCUGGGGCAAGGCCAGCAGCUGGGCGACCCGAGCUGACGCCGGCUUGAGCGAGGAAAGUGGGAUCGGGACUCCGGGUUGCAGCGGACAGGGAAGCUGGAGACUCUGGGGUCCUGAGGUGAAGGCCCACUGGCCAGCAAUCUGCCCGGGACCGCUGCGCCGGCUAGGUUCUGUGAGUCGCCUAUUGACGCAAGAGUGAGGGACGCCCAGGGUCCCCGCAGUGCACUCACCAGACACGUUUAGCUGGCCUCCCAAGAACCAGCCGAUCUUGCCGCUGCUGAAGUCACAGUCCCAGACCGUAUGGUAGGGGGUGUCCCACACUAGCGAGUCUCGAGCCAGCGGCCCCCAAAAGGCUGCGGGCUGCCCGGCCGCCUGCUCUCUCAGCGUGCGGUACGAGGCAGGGUGCGCGGUGUCUGCCGCGGUGGGCUGCGGGGCAGCCUGCUCUCUCAGCGUGCGGUAAGAGGCAGGGUGCGCAGUGUCUGCGGUGGUGGGUGUGCUACCUGGGGGCCCGGAGGCGGCUCUGCAAGGCGAGCUCACUACGCGCAGCGGCCACCCCCGCAGUCCCGCUCGCCCUUGUAGGAUGUCCAGGAGGCGCCUGACACCGCAGCCCAGACUGCGCGCCGCCAUCUCCCCCACGCCCCAAGGCCUCUGUUUCUGUAGCCUGACUACUACCGGGGUUGGAAGAGGCAGGGGCAGCAGCGGCUCCAGGAGGGCCCCGCCCUGUCUCCGCCCUCCCGCCACCACCCACUCCUCAGGCCCUUUCUCCUCUUGAAGCUGCCUUCCUAGGCUCCCCUGUCCUCACCUCCUCUCUCACCGCCUGAGAGAAGAGGACCUCAAAGAAGGAGGAGAAGUAGCCUGGGGAGGGACAAUGGGGAGCCGUGUAGAGCGGGGUCCCGGCUCUGAUGGGGCUGCGGGUGGGGUUCCCCUCAUCUGUGUUAUGGCCCUAUGGGGCGUUGGGGCCGUUUUGGUUUCAUUUUGUUUCUUCAAGUUCUUUUAGCUGCGCCACACGGCCAACAAUUAGAGACACGUGCAUCCAGGACGAUGGCUGGCUCGUAGCUCUCCGUCUUCCAUCUUCGGAUCCAAGGGAAGGAGCCCUCACAGAACAGAAGCGAUUGAUGCAGCGAAGUGCAUGGGAUGUGGUAACAGUGCUCCUCUGACAACCCCAGGUUUGGGCCUUGUGAAACUACAGCUGCAGCCCCUGCUGUCUUGGAACUCAGCUGCCAUGCCAUACAGGAGAGGGGAUAGCUUUCCAGAGGAAGAGACCCUACGGAGAGAACAAUGAAAAAUAUGUAUAGAAUUGACUCUUCUUUAAAAUAAAGAACUACAUAGUUCAUUUCCUUCUGGUUGGAUGAAGAAAUGAUUGUGUAUACACAAAACAUUUCAAAACCCAUCAGGUGGUACAGAACUGCACUUCCUACAACCCAAGUUACAAGAAAUUUCUC